GGAACAGUAUGGCUCACGUGGAAAUAUCCAGCAAUGCGGCGCAGAGGCCACAGUCUGCGGAUGAAGCGGCAAGCCGAGCUUUCCUACACCCCCGUGGGUCUCGGGCUUGACAUUACGGGACCCCGGGUGAUUCUCCUGUGCUGCCGAGAUUGAAGACUGCUGUUCUAAGACAAAUCCACUCACUGUCAAAUGUGAAAUCAAGUGCACACACUUAAAAAAAAAAAUACAAGAGCUGGUGGGAAGAAUCCGAAUCAGCUUGGUGUUGCAAAGACCCCCUACUGACCUCUUCCAGGGGUGAAGGGAGGAGAUGGAGAGGGUGAUCUCAAUGUGUAACCGAGUUUUGAGAAUCAGCGUUUUGGAACUUUGUGGACCAGUAGCAUGAGGAUAUCUUAAGAGUUGGUUGGAAAUGGACAAUUCCAGGCCCUACCCCAGACCAACUGGAUGGGAAUCGACACUGUCACAGGAUUGGCAUGUACAUUAACAAUUGGGAGUCGCUGUUCUCAUUGUUUACAAUGAGUACGAUACUUUUUCUCAGAAUUGUUCUGUCUUAAGGAUGAAAUGGAACGUGGUGCAGGUACAGUGACGCACAACUGUGAUCCCAGUGGCUCUGGAGACUGAGGGAGGAGGA